rnacentral:rRNA from 1 species
UACGAAGGGGCUAGCGUUGCUCGGAAUCACUGGGCGUAAAGGGUGCGUAGGCGGGUCUUUUAAGUCAGGGGUGAAAUCCUGGAGCUCAACUCCAGAACUGCCUUUGAUACUGAAGAUCUUGAGUUCGGGAGAGGUGAGUGGAACUGCGAGUGUAGAGGUGAAAUUCGUAGAUAUUCGCAAGAACACCAGUGGCGAAGGCGGCUCACUGGCCCGAUACUGACGCUGAUGCACGAAAGCGUGGGGAGCAAACAGG